AGGGCAGACAACUCUUCCAAAAAGUCUUAAGUGCAAAAAGAUGUGUCCAAUCCAGGGACCCCUGGCACUCUAGGCGAGGAUUAAAAUGGGGUACUUGAGAAUAACUGGAAACGCUAUUUGGAUGAUUGCUUUAUUUUUUGGACCAAAUCUUUACAAGAUCUGCAACUCUUCCACAACAUGCUAAAUCACCUACACGAUAACAUACAAUGGAAAUUAACGAAAAUGAAUUACCAUUUUUAGACAUCCUGAUUGUAAAGGAGGGGGUGAAAAUCAUAACAGAUCUCUACGACAAGAAUACAGAUUCCCAUCAAUAUUUGAUGUUUAAUCAUGCCAUCCAUCUCUCACCAAACGAAACAUCUCUUUUAACAUGGCCCGGAGAAUUUGCACAAUAGUAAUAGAUGAGGAUCGCAGAAAUACAAGAUUAUCUGAACUUAAGAUAUUUUUAUGCAGACAGAAAUAUCCACCAAAAUUAAUUGAAACAGCUAUACAAAAGGCUAAAGAAACUCCCAUCACAGAAUUGCGAACUACUAAACAACAUGAAGAAACCAACAACAAAAUUCCUUUCGUUCUUACACACAACCCGAGAAAUCACAACAUAUUCAAAACAGCCAAGUAGUGAUUCCCUAUUCUUCAACAAUCAGAAACAUUAAAUGACCUCAUUCAACCCACGGAUAUACUCC